UUCUGACCCGGAGUGAUCACUGGGAGGAGCUCUUCUUUCUGAAAUCAAUAAACCUGGCAACCCUGCUCUCAGGACCUUGAAGACAAGUAACAAGAUAAACUGGCUGACCAGAAAAGGACCUGAUUGAGACCAUAAUGAGACCUUUUAUCAAGUUCCUUGUGGUUUUGGUGCUCGCAGUUGUGGGGAUAAUGACCAUUAUCUCCGUCCCCCAAAAGAAAGCGAACAGUUCGAAUCGGACACCUGUCAGAUAUGGCGAUUCUGAGAACCUGCUGGACCAGAAGCUCCGAAACGUCGCCCAGCAAGCACUAGACGCCAUUAAUUCUACUCGCACACUGACUGCUUCUCAUAAACUAGCAGGCAAGGGCCAGCAUGUCUUCAACAACAACCUCCUUAAGUUCCACCGCAAAGUUCUGCAGGACCUGCUGAGAGAUGUGGGGGGCUACGAGCAGCUGAAUAACCUAUUACAGGACCUUGUGAUCCCCCUCAGCAAAGCUCAACGAGAUGCAAUUGGAAAGACAAUGGUGGUCGACUUCAGUUCGGAUGAGUUCUAUGUGGAUUAUAAUGAAGAUUUGUACGGAGAGUAUGCGAGGCAGCUCCGAAUGGCAGUUGUGGCAUACCUCAAGGCUCAUACAUCUGUCUACGAAAAUGAGAGAAACGGUGCCAAGGAGAAUUUUCAGCGGGUGCAGUUCAUUGCCAAUCAAAUAGUGAAACAUGAUGUGUAUGUGGACCCGAUGGCCCGUGAUCGCUGGCUGCAGGAGAACAAAAACCGUUUGCAACAGUACAAUAAUAUCAGAGAAGCAUUGAUGAAUAUGAUCCAGAACAUCCUGGAGGUCUUCAAAAAAAUGUCUGAAAAUAUCAAAGGCUUUCGUGAAAGAAACAACUGGAACGGGGACAGGACACUCAUAUUUUAACCAAGUGCCACAGAUUGGAUUCAUCUCGCGAUCUCUAUUUCAUUAUAAAGAUUGGAUGUGAGAGCUGAAGUCUUGGAUAGUUCUGGCAGUGUGUGAUCCGGACAUCCAUGAAGGCUGUUCCCGAGUGCCAAGGCCCUGUAUUAAUAUUUACCUCAGAACCUCACAUUUAUCAUUGCUUCUUUUCACACAUUGUUUUGAAUUUUUAAAUGUCUUUUCACUUUGAGUUAGAGUAAUUACUUCUGUACUUGUCAUAACAUUUAAUGUAUUCAUGUAAUAUUUAUAUAGGCUACAACUGAAUUUGUGUUAAAAAAAAAAAAUUUAAUAAAACUAAGAAAAGAUGAAAAAAAUCAGCAAAAAAAAAAAAAAAAAAAUCAAAAGAGUCAAUUUUCAGGAUAAUAUUUUAAAGAUAAUUUUGUACAAUCCAAAUAAGCUUUACAGAUAUUUAGAAAAGGUUUUAACAAUGUUUGUCAUGUUUUUCAUUUAUGCACCUAUAGGUCAAUCAAGGUCACAGGUACAAUAACUUAGGACACUAAAGAGACCUUUCUACUGACUCUGAAAAACAGCAGAAUAAAGAUGCCCAGGGUCUCUGAUCACCUGUGCGAACGUGCCUUAGUCCUGCUGCAGGAGACAAGAGGACUGCAGAUGAGAACAGAGCAAUAAACUGCAAUGUUCCUAAAAUGUGUAAAGGACUCAAAACAGCGGCGGAAAUCCCUCCAUCACACAGUCACACACACACACGAAGAUGCCUGAGACAGUGCUACAGGGAGACAGAAGGACAGCUGUUUGUCCUUCCAAUGCCAAACCACAUGUGACCAUUAGUCCCACCAGAUGUUUGAGAACAUGAAAUGCCUUGAUGGAAGAGUGGAGUAACAUCUCACAGCAAGAGCUUCAAAUCUGGUGCUGAGGAUGAGAUGCUCUGUAAAGCAGCUGGUGCCACAUCAGACUUUGUCUGUCUCAGUUUUUGAAUCUUUUUGUUUGUACAAAUAUUUACACGUUAAGAAAUUUGCUGGAAAAACUCAACAAAAAAAUUGAUUUGGCUUUGCAACAAAAAUAUGUGACAAAUAACAUCAAGUGUGCAUUUACUUGUUGGACUAUAAUGAUAAUUUGUCAUGAUAUCCAGUAAAAAUAUGAGAAAACAGAAAAUAUUUGUAGUUUGGUGUUGAUAAAGGGUAGCCUAUGCAAGUCUUACUGUGGUGAUAAACACUGAAAAUAUCAAAAUAAUCAAGAAAUUAAGGAUGACAGAAUAUUCACACCAGGCUAUAGCUUUUUAUUAGGCCACAGAUACAUUUGUAGAUUAUUUCAAUCUCUUUCGAUACUCUGAACGAUAAGACUCUUAACUGCCAUUCUGCAGCCUGUAUAACUUGUACGUUAGGUCUAUACAGGAAAGCAGGAGAGUACAAUAUGAACAACAUCAUAAAUUAAAUAUUCUGAGUGCCUCUGCUUGCAAACACGAGUAGUAUGCAUAUAUUAGUGUUAUAAUAAAUACUAAUAAUAGAAAAAAAAUAUUAUAUGACCUGAGUAAAUUGUCAUUACUGAACCAUAAGAUACAUUGGAUAGAUGGAAAUAAAAAUUCCAGAUCAAAAAAGGUAAAGGUUUUGCAUUGUUUCAGUAAAACAUAUGCUGGCAUGUUUGAAUGAAUAGCUAAUUUUUAUUUCUUUAUGAUUUCAGGUCAUGUGGAAAGACUGGAGAUCUACAGCAGCAUUGCAGUCCAGCCAAAUGAUCAACCAGUAGCUGCUCGCAUCUCAGCCUGCUUGAUGGAAAUUUCCGACUUUCACCUGGAUGACCUUUACCUUCAACUCCACCUUGCCAAGACAGAAGUGCUCGUGGUUUCAGCCACGUUAUAAUCAAUCAGUUAAACUUCACAGACUACAGUGCUGGAACUGCCCGAUCUUGCAGAUUUGCCCAGUACAACAUUGGGAAGACCAGGCCAUUCCUGUCGGAAAAUGCUACACAACAGAACAACAACUGGCUCUGCAAGCCUGUACCUAUACGCCCUCCAGAAGCUUGCGCUCUGAAAGUGAACAGCAUCUUGUGGUGCCAUCCCAAAGGGGCACAAACUCACUUUAACUGACCUUUACCUGGACUGUCCCAUGCUGGUGGAAUAACCAGACUAACUCAAAAUAUUUUCAAUAGACUGCUAAAGAUGCAUUUUUUUGUGUGUGAACAAUUGCCCUGAUAAUACUAUCUGUUUAACUGAAAAAAAAAAAAUAAUAAUAAUAAUUUCUAUGCAUUCUGUUCUAGACUAACUGGAAAUUGUCAUUGUACUUAUUGUUGCAUCCAUUCCAAGGUGAAAAAAA